rnacentral:rRNA from 1 species
CUCUGUGACUCCUACGGGAGGCAGCAGUGGGGAAUAUUGCACAAUGGGCGCAAGCCUGAUGCAGCCAUGCCGCGUGUGUGAAGAAGGCCUUCGGGUUGUAAAGCAUUUCAGUUGUGAGGAAGGUGGUGUCGUUAAUAGCGGCAUCAUUUGACGUUAGCAACAGAAGAAGCACCGGCUAACUCCGUGCCAGCAGCCGCGGUAAUACGGAGGGUGCGAGCGUUAAUCGGAAUUACUGGGCGUAAAGCGCAUGCAGGUGGUUUGUUAAGUCAGAUGUGAAAGCCCGGGGCUCAACCUCGGAACUGCAUUUGAAACUGGCAGACUAGAGUACUGUAGAGGGGGUAGAAUUUCAGGUGUAGCGGUGAAAUGCGUAGAGAUCUGAAGGAAUACCGGUGGCGAAGGCGGCCCCCUGGACAGAUACUGACACUCAGAUGCGAAAGCGUGGGGAGCAAACAGGAUUAGAUACCCUGGUAG